GCACACUGAGGGCUUGAACUCUGCAGCCCCUCUGUACCCUGAGGACAAACAGGGUAGGGAGGUGGAGAAGCAGAGAGAUGAAAAAGGAGGAGGGAAACCAUGUGGGGGAGUCCUCAGAAGGGCAGCUAAGCUGCAAAACCCUAAAGUAUGCAACUGGAAAGGGAAGGGGUACUUCAUUGAGCAUGUGCUGGCACAGAAGAGAAAUACAGAAACACCGAGAAGUCUUGCCCACCUUAAAAGAUAAAAGGGAGAUUUGCACACAGUUUAAACAAGGAGAGCAUUGUUGGAUAACCAUAGCUAAUCUUUACUGAUCACAACACUCCAUAAGACCUAGGGGUUUGCCUGAGGACAGCAAAUGACUCAACUGCUGCAUAUGUGGGGCUCCUCUUGAGCAAGGGAAGAGUCCAAGGUUAGUGUUAUCCUUUUUGUAUCCAUCACUCUUACCUCCGAGAUUCAACUUAUGGACCAAGACAUUUUUCAGAAAAUAAAGUGCUAUUAGAGAAUUUCAUUUUAUGAAACAUUUCAUGAGAAAAUUUUCCAGGAAGGGAAGGCUAGUUACCUCAGUCACAAGAGGGCAAGCUGCUUCCACUGGCACUGGUGUUUCUGAGCUGCUCAGAGGGACAGGGGCCCAGACCUUUGAGGAGAGGGUACUGGCCAGUUGGUGCUGAUGUCUCUGAGCUUGGACAAGAGCCCAGUGGGUCUGGAACUCAAACCUCUGAAGCGGAAGUGCUGGGUGGUAGGUGCUGAUGUCUCUCAGAGUGACAGGAUGAAACUGGCUUUACAAGUGUUGAAAAACAGGAUUCAGUCGCUUCCAUGGGAGGAACUGUCUCUGCCAGAGUGAAGAAUCAUUAUUGGGCUGAAUUUCACAGGAACCACAAGCAGGGAAGGGGAGGCCACAGCAAGUCCCUUCUCCCUCCCGCAGCCUUGCAGUUUCUAUCUAGCACCCCCUAUUGACAGAGCCUUACUGGAGAAGCAGAAAUGGGAUUUGCGGAGUAGCAGCCCCAGCCUCACAGAGCAGAGCAGGGCAGGGUGGCUUUGCAGCUAAGAACCAACAGCUUGAUAACUGGCACAGCAUCCUACGAGACUUUUGGUCUCAGAAUACUAAAAAUCUAAUUUUCAGAUAUUGCCUGUGCUUGGAAUUCAGUGAAAAAGUAAACUAUCAAGGAAGCCAUGGAGGAACUGUAGUCUCGUAUUACGUUGGCAAAGGUACACUCAGCAGACAAAGUUGGCCUUGGAUAAAACCUCGAAAUGGCGAAGGAUGCAUCUCCUGCAUAUUGUAACAACUUCAAUAUCAGUAAGAUAGAAGAGCAGGCUGAAGAAAUACAUUGUGUUCAAGAUGCAUAAAUAGACAAUGUUUGGGAAGUCAGUGGAAAAUCAAAGGACACAGAGAAAGGCAGAGAAAAAGAAAAAGGUGGAGUUUUUCUGGCAUUUAAUAAAGUGUUAUGCAUUGUGGAAAAAGAUUGCUUCUGCUUAUAACUCAUUGAUUAAUUUUGAAGAAAAAGCAGCCACGUUAAACUACCUCCAGGUCAGAUGCCCCACAGUUUCAUUUGCACUUCUGUGAGAAAGAGGCAAACAGGUAAUUAGCCCAACCCUUGGAACUCUUCUCAGCCAGCAUGGACUCCCAGAGCACUAACCAACCCAUUGGGGCUUCCUCCCCAUCCUACCCAGAAUAAAACCAAUUUAUUCAGUUCAGUGAGGUCAAAACAUGCGGGGAGAUUUUGGAAAGAUUUCUGUUCAAAGAUACAGGGCAUGUGGAUGUAAAGGAUUGACAUUUAUUUAUUUAUUUAUUUAUUUAUUUAUUUAUUUAUUUUUAUUUUUUGAUACCGAGUCUCU
rnacentral:lncRNA from 10 species